rnacentral:lncRNA from 1 species
AGACCAAAGUUACAGCGAGUUGAAAUUUGGUUAUAAUGACUCCGGUAAUAAGAGUCAGUCAGUGACUACUGUACUUGGCUUAGAGUCACUGCCGUGCCUCUUGAUAUAUAUAUCCAAAAUCCUUAUCAAUAACUACUUGAAGUAUGGAAGUAUUUAAACUUAAUACAAUUUUUACGAUUAAAUAUAACAAAUUGAUCUUCUUAUCACGAUUCAUUAUAAUUGCAUUUAUUGAAGAGAAUGCUGAUUAGCACAGAAAAAGUGAGAAAGAUGAAGUGAGAUACACCGCAAUUCUCUAUAUAAUUGGAUAUUUCUUUUUACUAUGUGAUAUUCCUAAACUUAGUAUCAAAUAAGUAAUAAUUUUCUUUAUGCACGCAGCAGAAAUCAGUUUUCAGAUUAUGACGAAAUAUACAGUAAAGAUGUAUUUAUACGUGUCCGCCAAACUUUUGUUCAUCACUGAAUUUUUCAAGAUUACAUUGAAUUCAUGCUUCAACAAAACACGAAUAUUACUUCUCGUCACUGGUACUGGACGGUGUUUUCCUAUUUUCAUCGUAGCAGCUAGGCAUAUGAAUAUUUUGUUAAAUUAUAAAUUGAAUAGACUAAGACGAUACAACAUAUCAAACUAAAUUAAUUGUAAGAAUUAAAUAUAAUAACAACUUCAUUAUACAUUGUAAAAUGCAUAUUACUUGUUUAUUACUUGUAAACGAUCUUUUCGAUUGGGAAGGAGGAACUGGAUUUAACACUUAUUAAGCAAACACACAAACCAUAUCUAAGAGAAAAACAGACCAGUGGAUCCGAUGACUCGUGAUAAAUCUUGAUCAGGAUAAAGCGGAAAACUGUUCUGUUUUCUCUACCAGAUCGAUGCAAAUAUGGAUGAUGCAUUUAUCUGCCUUAACAAAUGAAGAUUCCAAUUCUGAUUUGUAAAAUUUUAACCGUUAGCAUAAAACUCUUGUUCAAUCUUAGUCUUCCUUUGUUCUAAUUGUACUCAUUCACUGUCUUUCGUGUUUGUAUCCGUUGUUGGAUUAAUGUUAUUGUCUUGCAUUAAUCAGUAGGUAUGUUUUCAACUUAAAGAAACUAAAGAAAAUAAUAUUUAACAAAAACAAAAAAAACUUUAUGUAGAAGAAAAAGAAAUGUCAUUUCUCAUAAACGUGCUUAUAAAUCUUGCGUUAAACUACAAUAAGCUCCUAUUAAAGUUAGAUUUUCCGUUUAUCUUUAUUCUCGUUAACUUUGUUCUAAGAUGUAUUUAUAUCUUAGUC